rnacentral:misc_RNA from 1 species
AAGUCGUAACAAGGUCUCCGUAGGUGAACCUGCGGAGGGAUCAUUAACGAAUGGCCCCAUUGGGCCUUUCAACCCCUCAAACCUGUGGAAGCAAGCAGUGCUUCGGCGCCCUCGUGGCGUCGCUAUUUUACCAUCUGCCUCUCUGUGUGUCUGAUUGUCCUCUAGAAUUAAAACUUUCAACAAAGGAUCUCUUGGCUCUC